UACGUAGGGUGCGAGCGUUGUCCGGAAUUACUGGGCGUAAAGGGCGCGUAGGCGGCCCGCUAAGUCGAACGUGAAAUCCCCGAGCUCAACUCGGGAACUGCGUCCGAUACUGGCGGGCUUGAAUCCGGGAGAGGGAUGCGGAAUUCCAGGUGUAGCGGUGAAAUGCGUAGAUAUCUGGAGGAACACCGGUGGCGAAGGCGGCAUCCUGGACCGGCAUUGACGCUGAGGCGCGAAAGCUAGGGGAGCAAACGGG
rnacentral:rRNA from 1 species